rnacentral:lncRNA from 1 species
AUCUUAACCCUUAAACUCUGACCACAUGCCCUAGUGAGGGAGGCAAGCAUACCCAGAGAGGUCUUAAGAUGCCUGAGGUGCCAGGAGAGCAUGGAGAUGCCUGGGAAAAAGUAUCAUAUACAUUUGGAAACUUGAAAAUUGACAUAUGAUAAUGGACUUUAGGAAAUGAAUGUGUAGAGGAAGAAGUCAGGUGAUGCUGGUGUCCUGGGGACCACUCCACGGAAGGAGAAGACACUGGGAAUAGAAGACCUUUGAAAAUCGUGAUGGGCUUAAAGAUCCCAGCGCAGGUCCCACCACUUAUUCGCUCUCACCUGGCAUCUCAAUCUCUGCAUCUGUAAAAAUGAAGAAAAUAAUCCAUCUCCCUGGAUGACUUCAUGAGAUUUUUUGUAGUCAUCAGUGAGGUACUGUACAUAGACGUGCUGUAAGGACGAAAAGUUCUUCACAAUAGGAUGCAUGGGAAAGCAAGCAGGGAGCAGUGGAGGAGGCUGAACCCAGAACGUGGGCUGAGGAUGCUGGGAGGGAACAGGGUUGGGGGCUGAAUCCUAACAGGAGGAAGCUACUGAGCUGCUUCUGUAAGUUGGGCCUGGAUGGAAACCCUGGAAGCAGUAACUCCAAGAAAGAUUCAAAAGUGGGACAAGAAGAGCAAGAACCAGGAAUGGAAAAACUCCAAGGAACAUGAGUGAAGAGCCUCGAAAAAACAGGACACUCACAGUUCAGGAAACUACCAAGGGUCCAAGGAGAGGCCUUGCUUGGCCGUGGUGUGGUCCUGCAACUCCAGGGCAGACCUAGACUCAUGGGAAAGUCCCUGCUUUGUGAUGAGGCUGAAAGAGGAUGAGUGGGGAGUGGCCGGAAGAAGAAAGGUGACUCCCAGGGUCUGGGCCAAGGAAGGGUUUUGGAAAGGAAAGGGGACUCACAACAGGGCAUGCUUGGGAGGUAUUAAGGCUUUCAACCCUCGCCAAGGCGAAUAACAUGAGACUGUAAGUUAGCUAUAUAUAGUGUGUAACCUGAAAAUGCCUCCCCUUGCACCACUUGCACUGUUGAACUUAUAGUGAGUCCCUCUGUGGAGGGUGGAGUGGGGGAAGAGGUUCUGCUGGGGACAGACAAAGGUAGGGAAGCACUCACUGGCUUUGAAGAACUUCCUUGCUUUUUAUGCCUAGGGUGUAACCAGAGACCAGUGUCAACAAGGAAUCUGGCUUGGAACGCUUUUGUCUGCAGCCCUCUUUGGAGCG